rnacentral:lncRNA from 1 species
GGGAUGGAGGUUUGCCCUGGGGAUAUCAUUCACUAGCAGCAACAUUCCAGAACAUUGCAUCCAAAUGGAAUGUUUAGAACAGUUUUAUUUUUUGUGUUCCGCAUAAUAACACAAUGGAAUGUAUAGAGUUGAUAUGAUUGAUGCUCUGCAUAUGGAACAGAGAGAACCAUUCUAGUGCCAUACAUUCCUCAUCAGACUGGAGUGUUCCAGCCUACUGAACCUAUGCCUGGGUGUCCAUCUACCCUGCUGGCCUGGCUGGUGUCCAUGGAGACCACAGAACACUAAGAGGGAGAGGACACAUUUAGCUGGUUGUUUUCCCCCAGACAGAGUUCCUUUAGUACCGUAGACAGCAUUAUUAUUCUCAGUGCAGAGUAAGAUGUAGAUAUUUUCUGAGUAGAUUAAAGCACUAGGGGUAAAAGCGGUUCUUGGUUCCUUUGAUUAUUUUCAUGCCAAUCCAACACUACAAAUGGUCAGUCUCAGAAAAAUGUAAAUAGUUGUCUUGUAACCAGAUAUAGACCUAGAAUUGAUACAGGAAAUUAUGUGGGAGUGGAAUCCAAUGGGAAUGUGGGACUAAAGAGGGGCGGAGCAUAAAAUUAAAUUAGCAAGAUUUGAAUGAGUGCAAAGACCAGAUUGAUUCUAGUUGCUAUUUUAAAAAAUAAUUGAAAAAAAGCAAAUGUAACUAUAUACAAGAUAAAUAUUUGUUAAUUGUAAUGGUUUUAUGUAUUUUUCUUUUUAUAUUUUAUGAUUUGGGUUUAUUCGUCUUGCAGGUAUUGUGGGUGAACACAUAUGCAAUCGGUUUAUUUUUUAAUUGAGAAACAUUUAUGGUUUAUAUAUUUUAAGUAAAGAUAAAACAAGCAAAACACAAUGUAAAAUCAAUAUUACGUUCCACAUGGUCCCCUAUUCCCAAUAUAGUACACUACUAAAUGGCCUGAUAUGGCUAUGGGUGAAAAGUAGUUAACUAUAUAGGGGGGCCAUUUAGGAGACAGUCCAACUCUCAAUUUCUGUCAUCAGUUUAUUAUUGGAACGCUGAUCUAAAAUGUGAUUCUGGGUGAAAACCUUAAUCUCUAAUUCUAUGCCUUGGCUCUUAAUGUUGCACAUUUCUCUCAUGAAUGGAAUUUGUAACAAGCAAUACGGUUUAUAAUUAAAAAGUGC